AGUGAACGCUGGCGGUAGGCCUAACACAUGCAAGUCGAACGGCAGCACAGUAAGAGCUUGCUCUUACGGGUGGCGAGUGGCGGACGGGUGAGGAAUACAUCGGAAUCUACUUUUUCGUGGGGGAUAACGUAGGGAAACUUACGCUAAUACCGCAUACGACCUACGGGUGAAAGCAGGGGAUCUUCGGACCUUGCGCGAUUGAAUGAGCCGAUGUCGGAUUAGCUAGUUGGCGGGGUAAAGGCCCACCAAGGCGACGAUCCGUAGCUGGUCUGAGGGGAUGAUCAGCCACACUGGAACUGAGACACGGUCCAGACUCCUACGGGAGGCAGCAGUGGGGAAUAUUGGACAAUGGGCGCAAGCCUGAUCCAGCCAUACCGCGUGGGUGAAGAAGGCCUUCGGGUUGUAAAGCCCUUUUGUUGGGAAAGAAAAGCAGCAGGUUAAUACCCCGCUGUUCUGACGGUACCCAAAGAGUAAGCACCGGCUAACUUCGUG
rnacentral:rRNA from 1 species